rnacentral:rRNA from 1 species
UACGUAGGGGGCAAGCGUUGUCCGGAUUUAUUGGGCGUAAAGAGCGUGUAGGCGGCCAGGUAGGUCUGGUGUGAAAACUCGAGGCUCAACCUCGAGAGGUCAUCGGAAACCAUUUGGCUAGAGUCCGGAAGAGGAGAGUGGAAUUCCCGGUGUAGCGGUGAAAUGCGCAGAUAUCGGGAAGAACACCAAUUGCGAAGGCAGCUCGCUGGGACGUUACUGACGCUGAGACGCGAAAGCGUGGGGAGCAAACAGG